rnacentral:tRNA from 1 species
GGGUUGGUAGCUCAGUUGGUAGAGCAGCGGACUCUUAAUCCGUUUGUCGUGGGUUCGACCCCCACCCAGCCCACCA